rnacentral:rRNA from 1 species
CGUAGCCUACGGGGCGCAGCAGUGGGGAAUAUUGCACAAUGGGCGAAAGCCUGAUGCAGCAACGCCGCGUGAAGGAAGAAGGUUUUCGGAUUGUAAACUAUUGUCGUUAGGGAAGAUAAAAGACUGUACCUAAGGAGGAAGCCCCGGCUAACUAUGUGCCAGCAGCCGCGGUAAUACAUAGGGGGCAAGCGUUAUCCGGAAUUAUUGGGUGUAAAGGGUGCGUAGACGGAAGAACAAGUUGGUUGUGAAAUCCCUCGGCUCAACUGAGGAACUGCAACCAAAACUAUUCUCCUUGAGUGUCGGAG